rnacentral:tRNA from 1 species
AAAUAAGAAGCAAACAUUGCAGUCAGUUUCGACCUGACCUUAGAUAGAUUAUAUCCUUAUUUA